UACGAAGGGGGCUAGCGUUGCUCGGAAUGACUGGGCGUAAAGGGCGCGUAGGCGGCUUGCACCGUCAGAUGUGAAAUUCCUGGGCUUAACCUGGGGGCUGCAUUUGAUACGUGUGGGCUUGAGUGCGGAAGAGGGUCGUGGAAUUCCAGGUGUAGCGGUGAAAUGCGUAGAUAUCUGGAGGAACACCGGUGGCGAAGGCGGCAUCCUGGACCGGCAUUGACGCUGAGGCGCGAAAGCCAGGGGAGCAAACGGG
rnacentral:rRNA from 1 species